AGAGUUUGAUCCUGGCUCAGGAUGAACGCUGGCGGCGUGCCUAACACAUGCAAGUCGAACGAAGCUUGACGGAUGAUUUCUUCGGAAUGAAACCUGAUAUGACUUAGUGGCGGACGGGUGAGUAACACGUGAGCAACCUGCCUUUCAGAGGGGGAUAACGGCUGGAAACGGUCGCUAAUACCGCAUGAUGUGUUCGGAUGGCAUCAUCUGAACAUCAAAGAUUUAUCGCUGAAAGAUGGGCUCGCGUCUGAUUAGAUAGUUGGUGGGGUAACGGCCUACCAAGUCUACGAUCAGUAGCCGGACUGAGAGGUUGAACGGCCACAUUGGGACUGAGAUACGGCCCAGACUCCUACGGGAGGCAGCAGUGGGGAAUAUUGCACAAUGGGGGAAACCCUGAUGCAGCAACGCCGCGUGAAGGAUGACGGUUUUCGGAUUGUAAACUUCUUUUCUUAGUGACGAAGACAGUGACGGUAGCUAAGGAAUAAGCAUCGGCUAACUACGUGCCAGCAGCCGCGGUAAUACGUAGGAUGCAAGCGUUAUCCGGAUUUACUGGGUGUAAAGGGAGCGCAGGCGGGACUGCAAGUUGGAUGUGAAAUACCGUGGCUUAACCACGGAACUGCAUCCAAAACUGUAGUUCUUGAGUGAAGUAGAGGCAAGCGGAAUUCCGAGUGUAGCGGUGAAAUGCGUAGAUAUUCGGAGGAACACCAGUGGCGAAGGCGGCUUGCUGGGCUUUAACUGACGCUGAGGCUCGAAAGUGUGGGGAGCAAACAGGAUUAGAUACCCUGGUAGUCCACACUGUAAACGAUGAUAGCUAGGUGUGGGGGGUCUGACCCCUUCCGUGCCGGAGUUAACGCAAUAAGCUAUCCACCUGGGGAGUACGACCGCAAGGUUGAAACUCAAAGGAAUUGACGGGGGCCCGCACAAGCAGUGGAGUAUGUGGUUUAAUUCGA
rnacentral:rRNA from 1 species